rnacentral:rRNA from 1 species
GCGGUAACAGGAGAAGCUUGCUUCUCGCUGACGAGCGGCGGACGGGUGAGUAAUACUUAGGAAUCUACCUAGUAGUGGGGGAUAGCUCGGGGAAACUCGAAUUAAUACCGCAUACGACCUACGGGAGAAAGGGGGCAACUUGUUGCUCUCGCUAUUAGAUGAGCCUAAGUCGGAUUAGCUAGAUGGUGGGGUAAAGGCCUACCAUGGCGACAAUCUGUAGCUGGUCUGAGAGGAUGAUCAGCCACACCGGGACUGAGACACGGCCCGGACUCCUACGGGAGGCAGCAGUGGGGAAUAUUGGACAAUGGGGGCAACCCUGAUCCAGCCAUGCCUCGUGUGUGAAGAAGGCCUUUUGGUUGUAAAGCACUUUAAGCAGUGAAGAAGACUCCAUGGUUAAUACCCAUGGACGAUGACAUUAGCUGCAGAAUAAGCACCGGCUAACUCUCUGCCAGCAGCCGCGGUAAUACAGAGGGUGCAAGCGUUAAUCUGAAUUACUGGGCUUAAAGCAAGCGUAGGUGGCUUGAUAAGUCAGAUAUGAAAGCCCCGGGCUUAACCUGGGAACGGCAUCUGAUACU